rnacentral:lncRNA from 1 species
GAACCCUUCCUCUUUCACCCUCCUGUGCUCUGGCUCAGACAUUCAUCCCCCAAACUGCUGGAUUUUGAGGAGACCUAACUGAGGCCAGUGCUUGUCUGAUUAUCAGAAGACCAACCAUGAGCCUCAGCUGUGUGUGUUGUCAUCCUCUUCUGUUCCACCCACAAUACCCAAAGCAGGACCAGAGGCACCAGGACAAAAUCACAGAUGGGCGAUGACUUCGUGUGAGAAGAAACUGUCCACGUGUCCAGAGCAGAACAUCAAACAUAACAGAGGAAACUCACAGCCUCGCCUGUCUCUGGAGAUGAAACUACCAUGUGUAUUACCAGCCCACAAAGAAGCCAAAGUGAGGGAACAGAGGAUCCGAAUGAAAAGUGAAUCUCACAGCUCCUGGGGUGACUGCCUAGAAAAGCAACUCACUCACCAACCCCUUCAGAUCCAAUGGAUGGACAUGGAAAAAGUACCAUCUCAAGCAACUAAGUGCCUCCAACAGAGGGAAGAAGGUACCGUGGCAGAAGUUUGA